rnacentral:rRNA from 1 species
CGCGGCCUAUCAGCUUGUUGGUGAGGUAAUGGCUCACCAAGGCGACGACGGGUAGCCGGCCUGAGAGGGCGACCGGCCACGCUGGGACUGAGACACGGCCCAGACUCCUACGGGAGGCAGCAGUGGGGAAUAUUGCACAAUGGGCGAAAGCCUGAUGCAGCGACGCCGCGUGAGGGAUGACGGCCUUCGGGUUGUAAACCUCUUUCAGCUCCGAAGAAGCGAAAGUGACGGUAGGAGCAGAAGAAGCACCGGCUAACUACGUGCCAGCAGCCGCGGUAAUACGUAGGGUGCAAGCGUUGUCCGGAAUUAUUGGGCGUAAAGAGCUCGUAGGUGGUUCGUCGCGUCUGCUGUGAAAGUCCGAGGCUUAACCUCGGAUCUGCAGUGGGUACGGGCGGACUAGAGUGCGGUAGAGGAGAUGGGAAUUCCUGGUGUAGCGGUGGAAUGCGCAGAUAUCAGGAGGAACACCGGUGGCGAAGGCGCAUCUCUGGACCGUAACUGACGCUGAGGAGCGAAAGCAUGGGGAGCGAACAGGCUUAGAUACCCUGGUAGUCCAUGCCGUAAACGUUGGGCGCUAGGUGUGGGGUCCUAUCCACGGAUUCCGUGCCGCAGCUAACGCAUUAAGCGCCCCGCCUGGGGAGUACGG